GACGAACGCUGGCGGCGUGCUUAACACAUGCCAGUCGAACGAAGAGCGAUGGAAGCUUGCUUCUAUCACUCUUAGUGGCGCACGGGUGAGUAACGCGUAAUCAACCUGCCCUUCAGAGGGGGACAACAGUUGGAAACGACUGCUAAUACCGCAUACGAUCUAACCUCGGCAUCGAGGAUAGAUGAAAGGUGGCCUCUACAUGUAAGCUAUCACUGAAGGAGGGGAUUGCGUCUGAUUAGCUAGUUGGAGGGGUAACGGCCCACCAAGGCGAUGAUCAGUAGCCGGUCUGAGAGGAUGAACGGCCACAUUGGGACUGAGACACGGCUCAGACUCCUACGGGAGGCAGCAGUGGGGAAUCUUCCGCAAUGGACGAAAGUCUGACGGAGCAACGCCGCGUGAGUGAUGACGGCCUUCGGGUUGUAAAGCUCUGUUAAUCGGGACGAAAGGCCUUCUUGCGAAUAGUGAGAAGGAUUGACGGUACCGGAAUAGAAAGCCACGGCUAACUACGUG
rnacentral:rRNA from 1 species